rnacentral:sRNA from 1 species
CCCGGCAAUAAAUUGCCGGGCUAUUAUCAGCCGUCCCGGAGGGACU